rnacentral:rRNA from 1 species
CGUGCUACACAUGCAGUCGAACGGACCCGCAAGGGUCAGUGGCAAACGGGUGCGUAACACGUGAGGAACCUGUCCAACGGUGGGGGAUAGCCGGCCCAACGGCCGGGUAAUACCGCGUACGACCUUCGGGGGGCAUCCCCUGGGGGUGAAAGCAGCAAUGCGCCGAUGGAGGGCCUCGCGGCCUAUCAGCUAGUUGGUGAGGUAACGGCUCACCAAGGCGACGACGGGUAGCUGGUCCGAGAGGAUGACCAGCCACAUUGGGACUGAGACACGGCCCAGACUCCUACGGGAGGCAGCAGUGGGGAAUAUUGCGCAAUGGGCGAAAGCCUGACGCAGCGACGCCGCGUGUGGGAUGAAGGUCUUCGGAUUGUAAACCACUGUCGGGAGGGGCGAAGCUCUGACGGUACCUCCAAAGGAAGCACCGGCUAACUCUGUGCCAGCAGCCGCGGUAAUACAGAGGGUGCAAGCGUUGUCCGGAAUCACUGGGCGUAAAGGGCGCGUAGGCGGCCCGGUAAGUAGGGGGUGAAAUUCUGCGGCUCAACCGCAGGACUGCCUCCUAAACUGCCAGGCUUGAGCACGGUAGAGGCUGGUGGAAUUCCCGGUGUAGCGGUGGAAUGCGUAGAGAUCGGGAAGAACAUCGGUGGCGAAGGCGGCCAGCUGG